UACGUAGGGUGCGAGCGUUGUCCGGAAUUAUUGGGCGUAAAGGGCUCGUAGGCGGUUUGUCGCGUCGGGAGUGAAAUCCACUGGCUUAACUGGUGGCUUGCUUUCGAUACGGGCAGACUGGAGGUAUGCAGGGGAGAACGGAAUUCCUGGUGUAGCGGUGGAAUGCGCAGAUAUCAGGAAGAACACCGGUGGCGAAGGCGGGUCUCUGGACAGUUCCUGACGCUGAGGCACGAAGGUCAGGGGAGCAAACGGG
rnacentral:rRNA from 1 species